GACGAACGCUGGCGGCGUGCUUAACACAUGCAAGUCGAACGGAAAGGCCCUGCUUUUGUGGGGUGCUCGAGUGGCGAACGGGUGAGUAACACGUGAGUAACCUGCCCUUGACUUUGGGAUAACUUCAGGAAACUGGGGCUAAUACCGGAUAGGAGCUCCUGCUGCAUGGUGGGGGUUGGAAAGUUUCGGCGGUUGGGGAUGGACUCGCGGCUUAUCAGCUUGUUGGUGGGGUAGUGGCUUACCAAGGCUUUGACGGGUAGCCGGCCUGAGAGGGUGACCGGCCACAUUGGGACUGAGAUACGGCCCAGACUCCUACGGGAGGCAGCAGUGGGGAAUAUUGCACAAUGGGCGGAAGCCUGAUGCGGCAACGCCGCGUGCGGGAUGACGGCCUUCGGGUUGUAAACCGCUUUCGCCUGUGACGAAGCGUGAGUGACGGUAAUGGGUAAAGAAGCACCGGCUAACUAUGUG
rnacentral:rRNA from 1 species